CACACCCCAUUCCAAUCUCCCCAGUCCGCAGCCUCCCCAAACCCCCAUCCCUCCCUCCCUCCCUCAUUCCCAGAUCCGAGCCCUCCCCCAGAACCCUAGCCAGCCCAUGGCGCCGCCAAGCUCGCCGCCCUCGGCCGCCGCGCCAUCGCGGGGCUCCUCCGCCAAGGCACGCCCGAGGCCGACCAGGAGGCCUCGGUCACCAAGCGCCCCCGCAAGGGCACCUCCUCCGGCAAGAAGAAGCCAGCGCCCAAGGCCGCCAAGAGGUAGCAGAAGGCCACCAAGGUGCCGCGGGAGAAGAAGGAGAAGGCGUAGGAGAACCCGGCGGUGGAGGACGAGGUGUGCGGGGAGGAGCCCGACGAGGAGGAGCUGGCGCUCGGGAAGGAGGACGAGAUGGCCGCCUCCGGGGAGCAGCAACAGGAGACGGCGGCGGCGGCCAAGCGGCGCGGGGCGCAGCCGACCAAGAAGGCCCGGAACGUGGCCGCCGGCGACAGGGAGCCCGAGUUCCUCGGCGAGCCCGUCCCCGCCGACGAGGCCAGCGCCAAGUGGCCGCAGCGCUACAAGCGUGGCUCCCCCCAAGUGGAACGCACCUGUCUUGGGACGGUUGAGGCGAACGACACCAUGAUCAAAAGCCGCUGAUGACACACCCACGUUGAACUAGCACCUGCAAGAGCUAGUAGCAGCUUAGUACAUGCAUGAUCACCCUACGGCUCCAUGACCAUAAGCGUGCACUGACACUACGGCCGAGUAGAUCAGUUUCACAGACAGUUGAGUUGCGCACACUGGUUUUCUUAGGGUGAGUUCAAUCAGGUUCCCAUCUGACUCUGAGUAGUGGGUACUCACAGUGCUGCCUGUGUUGCUAAGCAGGUGUUUUCACCGAGUUGAUUCAGGACAUGCAAGUAAAAGGUGUACAGGUUAGCUUCCAGGGAUUCCUUGGUGGGGCUAACGUUCUCCUUGGAAGCAUUCUCAGGUGCAUCCACAGGACCUGGAGAAGUAUGCUGGCGCGACACGGGUGAAUGGCUAGCUGGAGGAAAUGUAUUUGCUAUAUUCUGUCCGUUUUUGCUAUAUUUCCGUGUAAGGAAAUGUAUCCAUGAGAUGAGUUAUUGUGUUAUGUAAACCUGGGAGAUGUAUUAUGUGAUGUUA